GUGUUUCAUGAAAGGAGAACAGGUUAACACUCCCCUAUCGGGCCUUUGGGCCUAAUAGCAUAUAUACAGUUCAGGCAUUACCACUUCGUGGAAUCUAACCAUCAUUUUUA
ensembl:snRNA